UUUGUCUGACAGUAUAAAUUACUUUCUUAAUUUUUUAGUUACCGGUAGGAACCGGUUUCUACUACAAAUUUUAAUCUUAAGAUAUGGGAAUGUAAUACAGUUAUUAAAUUGAAAUUGUACUUUGAAAUGUUGCUUUAAGUAAGAUGUUAGAUAUACUCCUUACUUUUAUAUUUGUUUAUUUUAUUUUUAAAGCGCCCCACCGUCGGAAGACCAGCUGUCCCUCUCAACCCUCUAACAUUCAUUGUGAAGUUGCCUUUGCUCCAGAGACUGUUGAGUCUUUUCUACAAGAACUCCAGAGCUCACUGAAUGAUGCUGCAGGUCAACCAGUAGUGCCAAAAGCUCCUCUGGCUUCCACAAACUGGAGCAGAAGAAAAAGCCUUUUUUCAGAGAGUUGGAAAGCAGAAAGACCCCGUCUGGUUAACACCAUGGCAGCUCAGCAAAGUGUGUCAGCACACUUAUGCCAGCAGUGUGGAAAUAAUCCAUCUGCACUUCGGUGUCGUGAUUGCCUACCACACCCCUUCUUUUGUGAAAAAUGUGAUGUGAUGAUGCACACCAAACAUGUCUUUCACAACAGAGAAACCAUCAUAGCUGGGUUCUUCCAGCCAUUGCCUCCAACUACCUAUGUUUUAAAUACAACUCUUUGCCAUGAUGGUCAUCUGGUUCUGCAUAUAUUAGUUACAAUGUGUUAAUACAGUUUAGGUGAAUUCAUAUUUUAAACAUGUCAACCUCUUUAGCACGAUUCGUA